AUUGAACGCUGGCGGCAGGCCUAACACAUGCAAGUCGAGCGGAUGAAGGGAGCUUGCUCCUGGAUUCAGCGGCGGACGGGUGAGUAAUGCCUAGGAAUCUGCCUGGUAGUGGGGGAUAACGUCCGGAAACGGGCGCUAAUACCGCAUACGUCCUGAGGGAGAAAGUGGGGGAUCUUCGGACCUCACGCUAUCAGAUGAGCCUAGGCCGGAUUAGCUAGUUGGUGGGGUAAAGGCCUACCAAGGCGACGAUCCGUAACUGGUCUGAGAGGAUGAUCAGUCACACUGGAACUGAGACACGGUCCAGACUCCUACGGGAGGCAGCAGUGGGGAAUAUUGGACAAUGGGCGAAAGCCUGAUCCAGCCAUGCCGCGUGUGUGAGGAAGGUCUUCGGAUUGUAAAGCACUUUAAGUUGGGAGGAAGGGCAGUAAGUUAAUACCUUGCUGUUUUGACGUUACCAACAGAAUAAGCACCGGCUAACUUCGUG
rnacentral:rRNA from 1 species